UGCCAGACUCCUACGGGAGGCAGCAGUGGGGAAUAUUGCACAAUGGGGGAAACCCUGAUGCAGCGACGCCGCGUGAGCGAUGAAGUAUUUCGGUAUGCAAAGCUCUAUCAGCAGGGAAGAAGAUGACGGUACCUGACUAAGAAGCCCCGGCUAACUACGUGCCAGCAGCCGCGGUAAUACGUAGGGGGCAAGCGUUAUCCGGAUUUACUGGGUGUAAAGGGAGCGUAGACGGCGAUGCAGGCCAGAUGUGAAAGCCCGGGGCUCAACCCCGGGACUGCAUUUGGAACUGUGUGGCUGGAGUGUCGGAGAGGCAGGCGGAAUUCCUAGUGUAGCGGUGAAAUGCGUAGAUAUUAGGAGGAACACCAGUGGCGAAGGCGGCCUGCUGGGCUUUUACUGACGCUGAGGCUCGAAAGUGUGGGGAGCAAACAGGAUUAGAUACCCCCGUACAA
rnacentral:rRNA from 1 species